UACGUAGGGUGCGAGCGUUGUCCGGAAUUAUUGGGCGUAAAGAGCUUGUAGGCGGUCUGUCGCGUCUGCUGUGAAAAUCCGGGGCUCAACCCCGGACUUGCAGUGGGUACGGGCAGACUAGAGUGUGGUAGGGGAGACUGGAAUUCCUGGUGUAGCGGUGAAAUGCGCAGAUAUCAGGAGGAACACCGAUCGGCGAAGGCAGGUCUCU
rnacentral:rRNA from 1 species